AAUCAACGCUGGCGGCGUGCCUCAGACAUGCAAGUCGAACGAGAAAGUUCCCUUCGGGGGAUGAGUAAAGUGGCGCACGGGUGAGUAACACGUAGGUAAUCUACCUUCGGGUGGGGAAUAACCCAGGGAAACUUGGGCUAACACCGCAUAAUGCAGCGGCACCACAUGGUGACAGUUGUUAAAGCGGGGGAUUUUAGGACCUCGCGCCUGAAGAGGAGCCUGCGGCGGAUUAGCUAGUUGGAAGGUAACGGCUUACCAAGGCGACGAUCCGUAACCGGCCUGAGAGGGCGGUCGGUCACACUGACACUGACAUACGGGUCAGACUCCUACGGGAGGCAGCAGUAGGGAAUAUUGGACAAUGGGUGAGAGCCUGAUCCAGCCAUGCCGCGUGCAGGAAGAAGGCCUUCUGGGUCGUAAAC
rnacentral:rRNA from 1 species